rnacentral:rRNA from 1 species
UGAGGAAUAUUGGUCAAUGGACGGAAGUCUGAACCAGCCAAGUAGCGUGCAGGAUGACGGCCCUAUGGGUUGUAAACUGCUUUUAUGCGGGGGUAAAGUGAGUGACGUGUCAUUCAUUGCAAGUACCGCAAGAAUAAGGACCGGCUAAUUCCGUGCCAGCAGCCGCGGUAAUACGGAAGGUCCUGGUGUUAUCCGGAUUUAUUGGGUUUAAAGGGAGCGUAGGCCGUCAGGCAAGCGUGUUGUGAAAUGUCGUGGCUCAACCAUGGACUUGCAGCGCGAACUGCCCGACUUGAGUGCGCAGAAAGCAGGCGGAAUUUGUGGUGUAGCGGUGAAAUGCUUAGAUAUCACGAAGAACCCCGAUUGCGAAGGCAGCCUGCUGUAGCGCUACUGACGCUGAAGC